CCCGGCAAUAAAUUGCCGGGCUAUUUUCGGGCGUCCCUGCGGGACU
rfam:Desulfobacteraceae bacterium IS3 Ga0073107_11343, whole genome shotgun sequence.